rnacentral:lncRNA from 1 species
AUUAUAUACAGCGGGUAAAAUAAGUAUUGAACACAUCACCAUUCUUCUCAGUUAAUAUAUUUCUAAAGGGGCUAUUGACAUGACAUCUUCACCAGAUGUCAGUAACAACCCAUGCAAUCCACACAGAAACCAAAACAAAUAAGUUCAGAAAUUAAGUUAUGUGUAAUAAAAUGGAAUGACACGGGGAAAAAGUAUUGAACACAUGAAGAAAGGGAGGUGCAAAAAGGCAAGAAGCCAAGAAACCAGCUGAAAUCUAUCAGUAAUUAGAAAGCAAUGCUGCCGCUCGUCAGUGCAAAUUAAUAUCAGCUGGUUCAGUCCCAACUGAUGGCCUAUAAAAAGGUCUCUCAUUAUUGAGGUGUCACACAAACAUAUCAUGAUGGGUAAAAGCAACAACCUUAACAACCUUAUUAACCUUAUUGUUGCACAAAAUACUGAUGCGUUGGUUACAGAAGGAUUUCUAAACUUGACUCCAGCUAAAGAAAAAGCAUGUUGAAGCUCGUUUAAAGUGUGAAGUACUGGGAGAAUAUAGUCGUCAGAUGAGACCAGAAUUAAACUCUUUGGAUUCCUUAAUACGCACCAUGUUUGGAGGUCAAAGGGCACUGCACAUCAGCCCAAACACACCAACCAACAGUGAAGUGUGGAGGUGGAACAUCCUGGUGGGGGUGUCGUUCAGCAUACUGCAAACUUCAUAUCAUUGAAGGAAUGAUGAAUGGAAAAAUGUACUGAGACAUUCUUGAUAAAAAAUCUGCUGCCAUCUACCAGGAUGAUGAAGAUGAAACGAGGGUGGACAUCUCAUCUCAGUUGUCAGUUUUAUCACUUCAUCUUCAACGUCGACAAGAAAUGUGAUAAAAUGUGUCGCUGUUGCACCUUUGGAAAGGGCUUGAUUUUGACCGCUAUCAAAUGUUGUUGAAGAGACCAACAGCAUAUUAUAUAUUGAUGAAAUAUGCCUCCACAAUUAUCUUAUUCUUAAUAAAUGAAAUGUAUUGUAGUCCCUGUCAGCCUCUGAGAGCUAUACUGUGUUGUUAUGGUAUUAGUAGUAGAAUGAUGGUCCUUUUGCUCUUCAGUGCAGAGAAAACGCAACACAUACGACUCUUCUGUGAAGAUGUCACUCUAAUAAAGAAAGUUGCUGCUCGAGGCUUGAGAAAGGGCUCCCAUGUGUCGGAGGUGAUUCGCCAACAAUAUCAUUGAACAGUGAAAGCACCUGAACAUCUUCAGGUAACUGAACAUUGCAAACACAUUGAUAGUUGUGUCAGAUUA